rnacentral:rRNA from 1 species
UACAGAGGAGCCAAGCGUUGUCCGGAUUGACUGGGCGUAAAGCGCACGCAGGCGGUGGUGCGCGUGGGGUGUGAAAUCUGGCCGCUUAACGGCCAGGCGCCAUCCCAUACGGCACGACUGGAGUGAUGCAGAGGUCGAUGGAAUUGCCGGUGUAGUGGUGAAAUGCGUAGAUAUCGGGGGGAACACCAGUGGCGAAGGCGGCUCUCUGGGGUGCACCUGACGCUGAUGCGCGAAAGCGUGGGGAGCGAACCGG